UACGAAGGGGGCUAGCGUUGUUCGGAAUCACUGGGCGUAAAGCGCACGUAGGCGGAUUGUUAAGUCGGUGGUGAAAUCCUGGAGCUCAACUCCAGAACUGCCUUCGAUACUGAGAGUCUUGAGUCCGGGAGAGGUGAGUGGAACUGCGAGUGUAGAGGUGAAAUUCGUAGAUAUUCGCAAGAACACCAGUGGCGAAGGCGGCUCACUGGCCCGGUACUGACGCUGAGGUGCGAAAAGCGUGGGGGAGCAAACAGG
rnacentral:rRNA from 1 species